rnacentral:rRNA from 1 species
GACGAACGCUGGCGGCGUGCCUAAUACAUGCAAGUCGAGCGCAGGGAAUCGACGGAACCCUUCGGGGGGAAGUCGACGGAAUGAGCGGCGGACGGGUGAGUAACACGUAAAGAACCUGCCCUCAGGUCUGGGAUAACCACGAGAAAUCGGGGCUAAUACCGGAUGGGUCAUCGGACCGCAUGGUCCGAGGAUGAAAGGCGCUCCGGCCUCGCCUGGGGAUGGCUUUGCGGUGCAUUAGCUAGUUGGUGGGGUAAUGGCCCACCAAGGCGACGACGCAUAGCCGACCUGAGAGGGUGAUCGGCCACACUGGGACUGAGACACGGCCCAGACUCCUACGGGAGGCAGCAGUAGGGAAUCUUCCACAAUGGACGAAAGUCUGAUGGAGCAACGCCGCGUGAACGAUGAAGGCCUUCGGGUCGUAAAGUUCUGUUGUAAGGGAAGAACAAGUGCCGCAGGCAAUGGCGGCACCUUGACGGUACCUUGCGAGAAAGCCACGGCUAACUACGUGCCAGCCGCCGCGGUAAGAC